AUGGAUAACAGGUUGAUAUUCCUGUACCACCAUUAUUCGUUUUAAGCGAUGGGGGGGACGCAGUAGGAUAGGCGAAGCGUGCUGUUGGAGUGCACGUCCAAGCAGUGAGAUUGAGUGUUAGGCAAAUCCGGCACUCUUAAGAUUGAGCUGUGAUGGGGAGAGGAACUUGUUCCUCGAGUCGUUGAUUUCACACUGCCGAGAAAAGCCUCUAGCUAGAAUAACGGUGCCCGUACCGCAAACCGACACAGGUAGUCAAGAUGAGAAUUCUAAGGUGAGCGAGCGAACUCUCGUUAAGGAACUCGGCAAAAUGACCCCGUAACUUCGGGAGAAGGGGUGCUCUUUGAGGUUCACGCUUCGAAGAGCCGCAGUGAAUAGGCCCAAGCGACUGUUUAUCAAAAACACAGGUCUCUGCUAAACCGUAAGGUGACGUAUAGGGGCUGACGCCUGCCCGGUGCUGGAAGGUUAAGAGGAGUGGUUAGCGCAAGCGAAGCUACGAAUCGAAGCCCCAGUAAACGGCGGCCGUAACUAUAACGGUCCUAAGGUAGCGAAAUUCCUUGUCGGGUAAGUUCCGACCCGCACGAAAGGCGUAACGAUUUGGGCACUGUCUCAACGAGAGACUCGGUGAAAUCAUAGUACCGGUGAAGAUGCCGGUUACCCGCGACAGGACGGAAAGACCCCGUGGAGCUUUACUGUAGCCUGAUAUUGAAAUUCGGUACAGUUUGUACAGGAUAGGUAGGAGCCUUAGAAGCGUGAGCGCUAGCUUACGUGGAGGCAUUGGUGGGAUACUACCCUAAUUGUAUUGGAUUUCUAACCCGCAGCACUUAUCGUGCUGGGAGACAGUGUCAGGCGGGCAGUUUGACUGGGGCGGUCGCCUCCUAAAGAGUAACGGAGGCGCUCAAAGGUUCCCUCAGAAUGGUUGGAAAUCAUUCAUAGAGUGUAAAGGCAUAAGGGAGCUUGACUGCGAGACCUACAAGUCGAGCAGGGUCGAAAGACGGACUUAGUGAUCCGGUGGUUCCGCAUGGAAGGGCCAUCGCUCAACGGAUAAAAGCUACCCCGGGGAUAACAGGCUUAUCUCCCCCAAGAGUUCACAUCGACGGGGAGGUUUGGCACCUCGAUGUCGGCUCAUCGCAUCCUGGGGCUGUAGUCGGUCCCAAGGGUUGGGCUGUUCGCCCAUUAAAGCGGUACGCGAGCUGGGUUCAGAACGUCGUGAGACAGUUCGGUCCCUAUCCGUCGUGGGCGUAGGAAAUUUGAGAGGAGCUGUCCUUAGUACGAGAGGACCGGGAUGGACAUACCUCUGGUGUACCAGUUGUCGUGCCAACGGCAUAGCUGGGUAGCUAUGUAUGGACGGGAUAAGUGCUGAAAGCAUCUAAGCAUGAAGCCCCCCUCGAGAUGAGAUUUCCCAACUUCGGUUAUAAGAUCCCUCAAAGAUGAUGAGGUGAAU
rnacentral:rRNA from 1 species